rnacentral:rRNA from 1 species
ACGCCUAACACAUGCAAGUCGAACGAAGUAGCAAUACUUAGUGGCAGACGGGUGAGUAACAUGUAGGUAUCUACCCUUUGGCCUGGAAUAACACGAGGAAACUUGUGCUAAUACCGGAUAAGUCUUUACGGAGAAAGCUUUAUGCACCAUUGGAUGAGCCUGCACUUGAUUAGUUUGUUGGUGGGGUAAUGGCCUACCAAGACUUUGAUCAAUAGCUGAUUUGAGAGGAUGAUCAGCCACAUUGGGACUGAGACACGGCCCAAACUCCUACGGGAGGCAGCAGUGGGGAAUCUUGCACAAUGGAGGAAACUCUGAUGCAGCGAUGCCGCGUGAGUGAAGAAGGCCCUUGGGUUGUAAAGCUCUUUCGUCGGGGAAGAAAAUGACUGUACCCGAAUAAGAAGGUCCGGCUAACUUCGUGCCAGCAGCCGCGGUAAUACGAAGGGACCUAGCGUAGUUCGGAAUUACUGGGCUUAAAGAGUUCGUAGGUGGUUGAAAAAGUUGGUGGUGAAAUCCCAGAGCUUAACUCUGGAACUGCCAUCAAAACUUUUCAGCUAGAGUUUGAUAGAGGAAAGCAGAAUUUCUAGUGUAGAGGUGAAAUUCGUAGAUAUUAGAAAGAAUACCAAUUGCGAAGGCAGCUUUCUGGAUCAUUACUGACACUGAGGAACGAAAGCAUGGGUAGCGAAGAGGAUUAGAUACCCUCGUAGUCCAUGCCGUAAACGAUGUGUGUUAGACGUUGGAAAUUUAUUUUCAGUGUCGCAGCAAAAGCGAUAAACACACCGCCUGGGGAGUAC